UACAGAGGUCCCGAGCGUUGUUCGGAUUCAUUGGGCGUAAAGGGUGCGUAGGUGGCGCUGUAAGUGGGGUGUGAAAUCCCGGGGCUUAACCCCGGGACUGCAUUCCAUACUGCGGUGCUUGAGGACUGGAGAGGAGACUGGAAUUUACGGUGUAGCAGUGAAAUGCGUAGAUAUCGUAAGGAAGACCAGUGGCGAAGGCGGGUCUCUGGACAGUUCCUGACACUGAGGCACGAAGGCCAGGGGAGCAAACGGG
rnacentral:rRNA from 1 species